rnacentral:lncRNA from 1 species
ACGUUUUCGCAACGCUAUUUUUACGAUGGAAUGUCACCUCGUACAGAAUAUUCACGGUUGGUUGGCAUGUAUUUCAAUGAUACAUGAUGCGAUAAUGUGUUUACCUUAUUUGCUUAUUUAUUUUCUUAAUGUAAUAACUUGUGUUUUAGCCGUAAUCGUCUAAAUACCAGCAGUGCCAUAAUUUAUUUACAAGAGAAGCCAUAUUUAUUUGUGUAUUGGCGGUCUGCAACACGAGAUUGCCUGUGAACAUAACAAACGUUUUGAUUGGUCGAUCCACUGACCGGAAAAUUAUAAAUAGAAGGUUGACGAAACGAACUUUAGAUUUAAUCUCACCGCCUGCAAGAGCAGUCGGAAUUUAUGCUGUCUUGAUGUCCUUAUAAUUUAGUGUGAAGGUUUUGAAUGUUUUAAGAAAACUAAACCUUCUUACACAUGGCAAUUGUUUGUUUUGAAGAAGACGACCUUCGACCUACGGGAAAGUCCCGUCAGCUGUCGUUCCACUUAGUCAACUUUCUAUAAAUACGACGAGAGAGGUUUUCUGGAAAUCUACUUUCACUUUAGCAGAGAGAAACCUUUAUGAGAUGAUUACGGC